rnacentral:rRNA from 1 species
AACUAAUUCUAGCUCAAAAUUAUAUUCAUAAAAAUAUCCUAAUUAAAAAAAAACAAAACAUUUAUAGUAAUUAAAGUAUAGGCGAUAGAAAUUACACCAGACGCUAUAGAAAUAGUACCGCAAGGGAAAGAAUGAAAGAAAAAUUAUAAGUAAAAAAUAGCAAAGAUUAACUCUUGUACCUUUUGCAUAAUGAUUCAACUAGAAGAUUUUUAGCAAAAAGAAUUACAGUUAAAUAACCCGAAACCAGACGAGCUACCUAUUAACAGUUUUAAGGGACAAACUUAUUUAUGUGGCAAAAUAAUAAGAUGAUUAGUAGGUAGUGGCGACAAACCUAUCGAGCCUGGUGAUAGCUGGUUAUCCAGAAUAGAAUUUUAGUUCUAACUUAAAUUUACCAAAAAAAUAUGUAAAUUUAAAUGUAUGUUUAAGUAAUAGUCUAAGAGGGUACAGCCUCUUAGACAAGGGACACAACCCUAGUUAGAGAGUAAAAAAGUGCAAUCUAUAAUAGUUGGCCUAAGAGCAGCCACCAAACAAGAUAGCGUUCAAGCUCAAUAGUAUAUCAAACUAAUUCCAACUCUAUUAAUUUAUACUCCUAAUACCAAAAACUGGAUUAUCCUACUUAUGAGUAGGGGCGAUUAUGUUGAUAUGAGUAACAAGAAUUAUUUCUCCUAGCACAUGUGUAUAUCAGAACGAAUCAGUCACUGAUAGUUACCAAAAUAAAUAUAAAUGCUUCAUGAAUUUUCACCUCAAAUUGUUAGUCCAACACAGGAGUGCAACUAAGGAAAGAUUUAAAAAAGUAAAAGGAACUUGGCAAACACAAACCCCGCCUGUUUACCAAAAACAUCACCUCUAGCAUAAAAAGUAUUAGAGGCACCGCCUGCCCAGUGACUUUAGUUCAACGGCCGCGGUAUUCUGACCGUGCAAAGGUAGCAUAAUCACUUGUUCUUUAAAUAAGGACUUGUAUGAACGGCUUAACGAGGGUUUUACUGUCUCUUACUUUUGAUCAGUGAAAUUGACCUUCUCGUGAAGAGGCGAGAAUUAACUAAUAAGACGAGAAGACCCUAUGGAGCUUCAAUUAACUAGCCUAAUGAUAAUAAUAUGCUUCCAAGGAUAUAAACACCCACUUAACUAGGCUAAUAAUUUAGGUUGGGGUGACCUCGGAGUAAAAACUAACCUCCGAAAGAUCUUUUAAGACUAAUAAGUCAAAAUUAUACUACUAUACACUGAUCCGUCACAGACGAUCAACGGAACAAGUUACCCUAGGGAUAACAGCGCAAUCCUAUUUAAGAGUUCAUAUCGACAAUUAAGGGUUUACGACCUCGAUGUUGGAUCAGGACACCCUAAUGGUGCAGCAGCUAUUAACGCGUUCGUUUGUUCAACGAUUAAAGUCCUACGUGAUCUGAGUUCAGACCGGAGCAAUCCAGGUCGGUUUCUAUCUAUUCUAAAGUCUCUCCCAGUACGAAAGGAUAAGGGAGGCAAGGCCUACUUAAAUUAAGCGCCUUAAUAACAAAGAAUGAAAUAAUCUCAAUCUAAUUGUACUUAAAACUGCCCUAGACAAGGGCCCAA